GAUGAACGCUGGCGGCGUGCCUAAUACAUGCAAGUCGAGCGAAUGGACUAAGAGCUUGCUCUUAUGAAGUUAGCGGCGGACGGGUGAGUAACACGUGGGUAACCUGCCCAUAAGACUGGGAUAACUCCGGGAAACCGGGGCUAAUACCGGAUAACAUUUUGAACCGCAUGGUUCGAAAUUGAAAGGCGGCUUCGGCUGUCACUUAUGGAUGGACCCGCGUCGCAUUAGCUAGUUGGUGAGGUAACGGCUCACCAAGGCAACGAUGCAUAGCCGGCCGGAGAGGGUGGUCGGCCAAGCUGGGACUGAGACACGGCCCAGACGCCUGCGGGAGGCAGCAGUAGGGAAUCAUCCGCAAUGGACGAAAGUCUGACGGAGCAACGCCGCGUGAGUGAUGAGGGCUUUCGGGUCGUAAAACUCUGUUGUUAGGGAAGAGCAAGUGCUAGUUGAAUAAGCUGGCACCUUGACGGUACCUAACCAGAAAGCCACGGCUAACUACGUGCCAGCCGCCGCGGUAA
rnacentral:rRNA from 1 species